rnacentral:tRNA from 1 species
AGAAGACCCGGUAAAUACUCUGCCUUGAACCCAGAAAGAGGGUGUUCGAUUCACCCAUCUUCUU